AGAACGAACGCUGGCGGCAGGCCUAACACAUGCAAGUCGAACGCCCCGCAAGGGGAGUGGCAGACGGGUGAGUAACGCGUGGGAACGUGCCCUUCGGUUCGGAAUAACUCAGGGAAACUUGAGCUAAUACCGGAUACGUCCGUAAGGAGAAAGAUUUAUCGCCGAAAGGAUCGGCCCGCGUCGGAUUAGCUAGUUGGUGAGGUAACGGCCCACAAGGCGACGAUCCGUAGCUGGUCUGAGAGGAUGAUCAGCCACACUGGGACUGAGACACGGCCCAGACUCCUACGGAGGCAGCAGUGGGAAUAUUGGACAAUGGGCGCAAGCCUGAUCCAGCCAUGCCGCGUGAGUGAAGAAGGCCUUAGGGUUGUAAAGCUCUUUCAGCGGGAAGAUAAUGACGGUACCCGCAGAAGAAGCCCGGCUAACUCGUGCCAGCAGCGC
rnacentral:rRNA from 1 species